UACGGGGGGGGGAAGCGUUGUUCGGAAUUACUGGGCGUAAAGCGUGCGUAGGCGGUUCUCCAAGUCCGUUGUGAAAGCCCCGGGCUCAACCUGGGAAUGGCAGUGGAAACUAGUCGACUAGAAUCUGGCAGAGGGGAGUGGAAUUCCACGUGUAGCAGUGAAAUGCGUAGAUAUCGGGAGGAACAUCAGUGGCGAAGGCGGCCUUCUGGUCCAGUACUGACACUCAAGUGCGAAAGCGUGGGGAGCAAACAGG
rnacentral:rRNA from 1 species